UGGCUCUCAAAACCCCACCACAGCCCCCUCCCAGGUCCAGCUGCCCUGGCCUCCACCCUGCUCUCCAAUUUAGCCACCAGAAAGCUGCUCCACGACUGGGCCAUGCGCAUUGGCCAUGAAUUAUUCAGGCCUCAUUUGGCUGGAGCCAGGGUAGAUAUUGGGGCUGGAGGAGAGUUUGGGCCAUGCGGUCUGUGCCAUUUGGAGGGCACGUGGAGGAAGCAUGUGGAACACAGAGUUGUCUCUGUCUUCAUCUCCAUUCAAGCUGACACCCACGUCCUGUUGGAUCCAGAGUGAUCUGCCCAUUGUGAGCCCAGGGGAGCAGAGGAUGCCUCGGGGUGAGAGCUCCCCAACCUUCAAGCGCAGAGACCUGCACAGAGCAUACCAUCGGUGCUCAGGACAGCGGGCUGAUUGGCAGGCUGGCCUACAUCAAUCAACAAGAGGAUGACACAUUUCAUAUAAGGGGCAGAGGACAAAACUCUGGAGUCAGACAGCUUAGGUGUAAAUCCUGACCCUUCUACUUUACAGCUGACUAAGCUUGGGCAAGUUACUUAAUCUUCCUGUGCUGAAGGUUCUUCACCUGUAAGAUGGGGAGAGCGAUGGCUUCUGCCUCACAGGGCUGCUGUGCACAGAGCAAUGGAGAUCAGACGUCUACAGUGCUGGGGUGGAAUGAGUGCUCAACCUCCAGACCACACUGGAUUGUCAUUGCUUGGUUGGUUGUUUGCCUUUCUCAUCAUCCUGGGAGAUUUUUAAAGAAGUUACAGGCCCGCCCAGCCCAUCUCCUCAAGGCACUCCUGUGAGCUGAGAAGGACAAGCACAUCCUUUC
rnacentral:lncRNA from 1 species